UACGUAGGGGGCAAGCGUUGUCCGGAUUUAUUGGGCGUAAAGAGCGUGUAGGCGGUUAGGUAGGUCCGUUGUGAAAACUCGAGGCUCAACCUCGAGACGCCGAUGGAAACCAUCUAACUAGAGUCCGGAAGAGGAGAGUGGAAUUCCUGGAUGUAGCGGUGAAAUGCGCAGAUAUCAGGAAGAACACCCGUGGCUAAGGCGGCUCUCUAGUACGGUACUGACGCUGAGACGCGAAAGCGUGGGGAGCAAACAGG
rnacentral:rRNA from 1 species